rnacentral:lncRNA from 1 species
GUUGGCAUUCGGUUAAAUCGAAUCGGGUACGCCCAUAAGCGGGUUCGAUCCGACGGAUGUUAUGUUAUCUAAUUGGAUUAGAAUUAAUCUCGCUUUCAAAUUGAAAAGUUAGUUAGAGAUAAAUCCUAGUCAUAUUAGGAUAACAAUUAAUAACCGAUUUGGCUUUAUCUCCAACGCCAUUAGGAUUUUGGAAUUCCUUAUAAAUAGACGGGCGAUCUCACAUGAAACGAUACACACAAAAAUAAAAGAACGGAAAAAUAGAGAGAAACCACAUCCUCCAUUGACCUAUUAUUCUAGAGGGACUUGCACGGUGGAUUNGAUCUUGCGCUACUCGGGCCUAGCAAAUCUAACUAAGUGCACCGCGAAUCGCUUCCGCAAAAAGGUACGAACGAAUACUUCCGCUGCGUUCUACAUUGGUAUCAGAGCCUUUUUUGGUUGAUUUCGUGGUCUUGAUAUAUCCUUUAACGAGAUUACAUGCAUUAAAUUAAAUUCUUCAUGUUUUAGAUUUUUUCUUGCAUGUAUGUGAUCGUUCAUGGCGAUUUUUUCAUAAGUGAAUAUCUUUGCAUGAUUUUUACACAUCUUGAAGCACCGAAGUUGUAGAUUAGAUCUAUAAAUUUUGAUUUGAUAUGGUUUUGUAUUUUAUGAGAAAAACGAAACUCUGAAUUGGAACUUUGGGUGGCUUAUUUGAUGUGUGAUGCAUAUCCCAUUGUGAAACUUGUAUGAUUUUGAUGAGCUCCUCGUAAGCUUUGUAUUGAUAUAUUUCUUGCAAGAUUUGGUGUUCUAAAUCAUUAGUUAUGAAUUUUUGAAGAUAAAUCAUUAGUUCCGGCGCCGCAGACGGGCGCAGGCCGCCGGCAGCGAGGGCCACGCAGGUCGCACGGGCCGCACGCAGGCGGCGGGCCCCGAAGGUCGCACGGGCCGCGCGUAGUCGACGGGCUGCGCAGGCUUGUGGGGCGCGCUGGCCGCAGCCGCAGGGGGGGCGUCGCGGGCCGUCGCCACGCGCGCAGGUGGGGGCGUCGCGGGCCUCGCCAGAGCGAGGCGCGUUUGCCCGAGGUCAGCGGGCCGCGGUAGCGCGCGCAGGGCGCGGGCGCGGGUGUCUGGACGAUGGCUGAAGCAGGCAAGCGGGCGUGGGCUUACGCUCGCGCACACAGGCCACGGGCCGGCGCGGGCACGGAAAAGCGUGCUGCGCGAGGGCAAGCGGGCGCCAGGCACGCGGUGCGCGUGCCGGCGGGGCUGGGAUAAACGGCGCGGGCGGGGGACGCGUGAGGGACAGGCGAGGCCUCGGGCGCCAGGCAGGCAAGCCGGCGUCUGUGGGCCGCCGGCGGCGCGCAGCAUCGCGCGAUGCAGGCGCCGCGAGACCGCGCCUGGCGGGACCGCGCCCUAGCCGCAUUGCAGGCUGCGCGAUGGUCGAUGGGGACGGGGUGGCGAUGGCGGCUCAUGCGAGGGUUAGUGCACCUGCGGGGCUGGCAGAAGUGUUUUUUUUCUUCGCUUUGUAACAAAAAAAAAAAAAAAAAAGUUUAGAUUUUAUUAUAAUAUUUUUUUGAUGGCUAAAUAUGCUUUUGAUGAUAUAUGACGCAUGAUUAUCGUUUCUGCAAUUAAAAUAUAUAAUGGUACAUUAUGAGUGUAUGAUGUACUUUAGAUUUAUAAUAUAUUUUUUAUGCAAGCCUCUAUCUUGUGGGGGUUUGUGAAUUUGGUUAGAGUAAAUUAUAAUGGUUUUACUCUUUUUUUUUUUUUUUUGCGAUCUUAUUAAAUAAUUUAAAAUGUUUUACAAUUGGUGUGUGGAUGUGAUUACGAGCCAUAGCGAAAUUUUCUUUAGAUGUAUGAUCUAUUUUUUAUUUAAUUUAAUUAGAGAUGCGGCAUAAAUGUAAUACAUGUUAUGUGGUUACUGAAUUUUAAAAUGAUUUCUUCUCUGCGCAUUGCAGGAAAAAGUGAGAUUUAAUGGCUUACAACAAUUGUUUGGGAUUUGAACAAGGGUGAGGAAAAUUGGAUGGUGACAAUUAUGAUAUGGUGGCACCGUAAAAUUCAAUUGUUUGCUGAGCAAGAGUAGUCCUGGAAAACUCUGAGCAAUAAAAUGGACCAACACGGAGAGAGCACUAGUGCCAGGUUCGCGAGAUAUGGAGCCUAUAUAAUGGUUAAAAGAUCGCAUUGCUAGCCCAUCACUGUUGAGUGGAGCAGUAAUGGAGAAUUGAUCUCUUUGUGCGAGUGUGAGCAAGUAAUCGGAUGCGGUAUGAAUCGUGGGAGCUCUCAAAGCAGAAAUUGUGGUGAAAUUGGCUACAGGAUUGCGCAGGUCUGACUAUGCGGUUUUUGAAGUUAUAAGAAGCGUGUCAUCAGAUAUGGAGCAGGCACGUGUAGAACAAUGGUAAACAUGAUUCGUGGAGUUUAAAGUUGGCUGGCGGCACCUGUGACUGAUUAUGAGACAGAAUCAAGCUACGGAUUCGCUCUCUUCCAUUCGUGGGAUAUAUGGAGUAAAUUGCCCAUAACAAUAUAUUCAAAACUUUUGAGGAUGUUGAGCGGCAUUUGGAGAUUGGAGGAGGAGCGCUUGGAGGCUGUUAAAAUUCAAUGCAAUGUGUCGUGAGUCAAACUUUGCAGGAAUCUGUUCAAGCGAAAGAGGAUAUGGGGUCAAAAUAAUAGGGAUGGCUAAGAAUGCGAAGAACACUAAAAGAAAAAAAAGCAAAAGACGGUCGAGCUAAGAAGAAAUCAAAUAUUGUUUAAAACUGAUCAGUGGGGAUACUGAUCGCUCGCUGUUGACUGGAGCGAAGAGUUACGACUUUAUCCGAUUCUCGUCUUUUGGUUUUCUAAAACGUUUGUUAGUGAAAUCUUCCCUGUGGGAUUGAUGAUCAGGGCAAAGACAGUAGGAGGAAUCGAGAUGGGAUUAGUCGGAUACAGUGUGCUGCUAGGGAGAGAAGAGUUAUACAUGGUGCGGAAUGAUUCAAGUGUCAUUGUGUUAGGACGGUAGGCCAAGUACAAGUUGAUCAUGCAGGUGUAAUGUAGAACUUUAUAUUACAUUGAUGUUUACUUUAUGGCUCAGGAAUUCGGCGGAACUUGUUUUCGUAUUUUGUAUGUACAGUUUAGGCUUUUCUUUUCGUUCUGAGAGUGAUGUAGUUUGAGAUUCAUCUUUGGAACAUAUUUAUUAGUUAGAGUUUUAUGUCGAUAGUUUUAUGGUGUUGUUAGAAAUUGAUUUAAUAUUAAUUUAUUAGUAAUUCUUGUUCCCUGUAUUGUUUGUUGAGAAAUGAUCACAAUGUUUCAAUUAAAUGGCGAUGGAAGUAUUGGUCAUAUUGGCAGGGAUAGAUGACUAGAUUAGUUAGAGACGUUAUGAGGUCGGAUCAUAAAGGUCGAACCUACAUUUUGUGAACAGUGUUUGCGGGAAAAGCGAACCCGAAAAACCAUUUAAUAAAGUUCAGGGCAGAAUUUUCUUUUACAAGAUUAAUCAUCGCAUGUGGCCAAUGAUGUGAGGGCAGACAUGGUGUUUUUACUUCGAUCACAUUUAUAGAUGAACAUACGCGCUGUCGGUCAUAGUUAUCUGAUUCCUAUAAGUUGAAGCAGUUGGAUUGUUUUAGAGUUAUUUAAUGAGGCUGAGAAUCAGUUAGAUAUAAAUAAAUGCUUAAGAACUGAUCGAUGCGCGAUAUCUAUCUAACAAUUCAAGAAAUUAUUUAUGAAAAGGGAUUAAUCAGAAGUGACUCAAUCUGGCAGCUCGCGCGAGCAAAUGGGUGUAGGGUAGGAGAAGACAUAAUGCUAUUGCUUGAAUUGGGUUAGGUCGAAUUGAUGGCGCUAAGCAGAAUGGUGCUGUUUCUUUUGGGGAGAGAUUGUUAACUGUGCCUACAUUCUUAAUCGUGUACUCAAAACAGUUACUUAACCCUUAUGAAUUAUGAAGUUUCAGGAACCAAAUUUUGGAGUCCUGAGUCUUGGGGUUCGGGCUUUUUAUGUACAAAUACUUCUGAAGGAUGGGGAAUUGAGUCUAGAGGGAGAAAGUGUAUUUUAUAAGAGUAACUUCUGCAACAUUAAGGAUACGUGUUUAUAGGAAAGCAGCCUGAUGCGAAAGUUUGCUGAGAUUGAGAUCACAGAUGUUGAAUUCCUCGGAGUAGGAUUUUCUUAUAGAAGUGAGGUUCGAAAUGAAAUGUAGGUUCAUGAGAUGGAAUGAACUCUGAAUUAGCGUUUCUAUUCGCUUUCAAUUGAGGGCAGAGGAGGCAACUCGAUAAUUCUGGAUAGUAGGGAGCGAAGUACUUUAGAUUGUGAGCCGAUUAGUAGGAGCGACGGUGUAGGCUGCCCCUGAUCGUCGUUUUGAGAUUGAGAGGGGUUUCAUGGUUGCUGCACAUGAUAUGAAUGAGUAAAUCUUACAGAGGCUCUCUCGAUUAGCUAUAAUAAAGAAUGGAUUUGAUGCUAUGAUGGAGGAAUAGAAUCGUAUGAGUAAAAUUAAAUGUCUGGGGACUUGUUGAUUGCACAAGAAGCGCAAAACAAUUUGGAAGUAAAUGGAAGUUCUCAAGCAUUAAGCGCAGCAGAGGUUUAUCGAUAGGUACAAGGGCUCCCUGAUAGCAAAGGGUUUUUAACCAACGAGAAGGCUUGAUUUACGGAAGAAGAAAAUUUUUCGUCCUGUAAUGUAAGUUUGUUCGAUGUCUGGAUAUGGCAUUAGUCAACAUAUUUGCGAUUGGAUUUUAACAAAUGGACGUUAAACUGGAUUUCUCAAUGGAGACUGGAUGAGGAGAUCUAUAUGGAUCAGCUACUGGCUUCCUUAUGUAAGGAGUGAGGAGAUAAAGUUUGUAAGCUCGACGAUCCAUUUAUGGAUUGAAGCAGUUCCAGGACAGUGGUAUAGGUUCGAGUUCAUCGAGCAUCACUGAAGGAUGGGUUCGAUGAUUGAAGAAGUAUAACUGAUGUGUAUGUUAAGGGCCAGAAGGGAUUUUUUUUAUAUUUUCAUUAUAUGUUGAUGAAUCUAUGGGCCGGGAUAAUAAGAGAUGAUGUAGCACUUCAGACGUGGCUGUCCUCUAUUUUGAAGAUGGCAAGGACAGGGUGAAGGGGCGAAUUAUGUGCUCGGAAUUUAAGAUCCUACGAGAUCGUUCAAAGAAACUUUGUAGGUCUGUUCAAGGACUUACUAAGAAAGUAUAGAACGAUUCGGGAUGCCAAAUUUGCAACCCAUUGACAGUCCUAUUGCUAAAGGUGAAGAGUUUUGAAGCAUUGAACAGUGCCCUAAGCUUUCUGAGAGAGAACAAGAUGAAUCGGAUUCCAUAUGGUCUAAUGCGCGACUUGCUAUGUAUGCUAUUGAUGUGUACUCGGCUUAUGUAUGUAGUGGACUGGUGUAGCAUUUGUGUCCAUCUGGGAUGUUGGAACCAUCGAAGCAGUUGGCGCCAGAAGAAUAUAAUCUAGAACAUAUCUACGGUUAGGCGUAGGUUGCGCAGAUUUCUAACUUAAGCUGUUGUUAGGAAUUAUUUUUGGUCAUGUUAAAGAUCUUGGACUCGUAGGAUUUGGAUUGUGUAGCAGUGAUUAUUUUUGUAAUUUUUGGUUAUUUUAAUUAACAGAAUUAUUAUUUGGAAAAGAAUAAUUUGUAAAUUAGGUACAGUGAUUUGUAUUAUUUAAAUGAUUGUAGUGAUGUCACAGGAUGAUUGGCCCUCCAACGGGCAAUAAUUCUUUAGGCUGAUGUAGAGAGCGACGGAAAAUUGAGGCAUUAAUGAAGCUCGCCUUGGUUGGCACCAAGAUGAGGUAGUUAUUGAGACCGAUACCGAAAAAGUCACGAUUCGUAUGGCCUGCAAUAUUGAGAGCCGGAUGUUGAGCUCACCGUUGAACGUUGAGAUAGCGAAGUCAAAUGAGAGAACUCAGGCUAAACUUAUGGGAUGUGAUGAGACGUAAGAUCUGAUAUGACAUUGAAGAAAGACAUACGUGUAUGGAUUCUCUGUAUAGAUGUAUUUUCAUGCAAUGUGAGGGGAGACUAAAUAAAAAGUAUGAGUGGAAUGGAUCCAUGCUUCGCUCCAUCAGUGUGAGUUUUGCACGGACAUUAAUUUUGAGACGAUGUCCAUAUUAUGUUUAGGAUGGCCUUUAGUAAUUUUGACUGAUUGUCAUUAAGUGAAAAGAAUUGAAUGUUGACUACUUUGGCAUGUUACUUACGUGUCUGAUGAGUGAUGCGGCUUUACGGAGGCCAUUGCUGGGAAGGCAAUCAGUUCUCAAACUCAGUGGCGAUGAGGGCUCAGGAGACUGUGAAUUAAUUAAAACACUUUGAUCAUUGUCGACAGGUUGUAGUAUCGCUUCACCUGUAUAGCGAAAAAAAUCAUGAGUAUGUGUCAUUAAUGUGUCCGCAAUUGCGGUUAGCAUGGCUUUUAGAGGAUUAGAGAUGCUGAACUGAGUCAAGUUCAAUAUGUUAGGGCAUCCGGUCUAAUAUUUUUUUUUUGAGGGUUGAUGUCUCUAUGUGGCGGAGGCGGUUUCUAGUAUAGUGUCAGCUCCCAAAAGUGGCAGGACCUCGCUCGUCGCGGUAUCGCAUGUUAUUUCCUUGUAUGAUAGAUUAAUAGUGGUAUGAUGAUGUUGAGAACAAAAUUGGUUACGAUGGCCCAUCGAUCGUCAUGAUGCGAGUGAUGAGAUUUGGAUUUCGGUUAAAUCGAAUCGGGUACGCCCAUAAGCGGGUUCGAUCCGACGGAUGUUAUGUUAUCUAAUUGGAUUAGAAUUAAUCUCGCUUUCAAAUUGGAAAGUUAGUUAGAGAUAAAUCCUAGUCAUAUUAGGAUAACAAUUAAUAACCGAUUUGGCUUUAUCUCCAACGCCAUUAGGAUUUUGGAAUUCCUUAUAAAUAGACGGGCGAUCUCACAUGAAACGAUACACACAAAAAUAAAAGAACGGAAAAAUAGAGAGAAACCACAUCCUCCAUUGACCUAUUAUUCUAGAGGGACUUGCACGGUGGAUUUGCGAUCGCGCUCGUUUGUAGUUCGAUCCACCGCGAGUUUGGAGCGUGAGAAGAUAUUCAAGCACGAUCCGAGGACACGUGAAUCAAUCUAAACGAUCCGGGCUCAUCGCGUUCUAGCGCGAAUCGCUUCCGCAAAAAGGUACGAACGAAUACUUCCGCUGCGUUCUACACCAGCAAACGCCCGCUUCGCCUGUAG